rnacentral:rRNA from 1 species
GUAGGUGGCAAGCGUUGUCCGGAAUUAUUGGGCGUAAAGCGCGCGCAGGCGGUUCUUUAAGUCUGAUGUGAAAGCCCACGGCUCAACCGUGGAGGGUCAUUGGAAACUGGAGAACUUGAGUACAGAAGAGGAAAGCGGAAUUCCACGUGUAGCGGUGAAAUGCGUAGAGAUGUGGAGGAACACCAGUGGCGAAGGCGGCUUUCUGGUCUGUAACUGACGCUGAGGCGCGAAAGCGUGGGGAGCAAACAGGAUUAGAUACCCUGGUAGUCCACGCCGUAAACGAUGAGUGCUAGUGUUAGGGGGUUUCCGCCCCCUUAGUGCUGCAGCUAACGCAUUAAGCACUCCGCCUGGGAGUACGGCCGCAAGGCUG